rnacentral:lncRNA from 1 species
UCUGGAUAAUGUUGGUGUUGUAAAAAAGGUUUCUUUUACUUUCGAACAAUAAUUUCAAUUCACGUAUGUUUUUUUCUUUUAUUUCUUUUGGUAAUUUAUUUAAUUAUGUCUAAGUAAUUGUUUUACUUAGUUUUGGCUAAAAUCGAGUUAAGUAUGAACAAGUAAAAUUGUGAGGUCUAAUCUAGGCAAAGUAGUUGUGUGCGUGUAUUCCUGAAAUACUAGGUCUGAAU